rnacentral:tRNA from 1 species
UCCCUGGUGGCUCAGAUGGUAAAGCGUCUGCCUACAAUGCAGGAGACCCGAGUUCAAUCCCUGGGUUGGGAA